GGGGUGAGAGACUAGAGAAUUCGGUUACAGAGAGGUGCAGGAUUUGGAUGAACCGAUAAUACUUCAAUGGCCAUAUCUUUGGAAUCCACCGUUGGAUCAUGUGGAGUUUUGGAUAUAUUGUUCUUCUUCCACUCUUCUAUUAACGGACCGGAGGGAUUUGAAGGAACAUAAUCCAUUGAACAGAAAUCAUCAUCGGAAGUGUACUGGAAAACAUAAGGAAAUAUACCUGCAGGGCAGUUUUGGUCGCCGGCCGAUUUCUCUCUCUUCCACCGUUGGAUCGUGCCUAUUUUUGGAUAUGUGGUGCGCCUAGAUGUGGCCUGCAUUCUGGACGGUGGAGAUCGGAAACGCACUCUCCGGCAAGGUUUUGUUCAUGUUGAACAGUAGCUCGUCCAUUUUCAGGAGAGAUUGCAGAAUCUGUUCAGUAGCAUGGGACUUUUGCGCGAGUUCAAGCAUUAGGUCCAUCAAGGCCGCGUCUGGAAUGAUAUUGGUUUAGUUACCUUUUGCUUUUGACCAUGCAAUCAUUUGUAAAUUAAGAGUCUUAUAUCCUAAAACUUGAAAUGUAAUAUUAAUUUGUAAAUUUGAAUGUAUGACUUUAAUUUAAUGUUUGUAACUUUAAGUACCUAUUUAACCAUGCAUGUUUAGAGUUGGAAAUCGAAUCUUUAACUUGAA